GGUUUGACGAGGGCCAUGCUGUCUCUUUUGAAAUAUUUAAAAAUUAACCUUUAGGUGAAGAGGCCUAAAUAUAUUUAAGGGACAAGAAGACCCUGUUGAGCUUUAGUGAAGCUGUGGAUGUCCAAGUAAUGUAAAAAGUCUUGUUUUGUAUAUAAAAUAUAAUAGUAGUUUGCGGUUAAUCUUUAGUUGGGGCGACUGAGGAACAUGUAAAGCUUCCUUAUUUAAGUCAGACUGUAUAAGUCAGUUGAAUUAAAAAUGCUUUUAUGUUAUUUUGAUCCAAUUUUAUUUUGAUUAAGAGAAAAAGUUACCACAGGGAUAACAGCGUAAUCUUUCUGGAGAGAUCUGAUCGAAAGAAGGGUUUGCGACCUCGAUGUUGGACUAAGAUAUCCUAAGGGUGUAGAAGUUCUUGAGGGUUGGUCUGUUCCACCAUUAAAAUCUU
rnacentral:rRNA from 1 species